AGAAAUUAAUUGGUUUGCGGUUAAAAGCUCGCAGUCGGAGAUCUGCCAGGGGACGAUGUCCCCCCCCCGGGGUGUCAUCAUUAGCUUGCUUGCCUCCUUCUGGGGACCGGUUUCCACUUGAUUGUGGAGUCCCUGACUUCAAAACCUUUACUUUGAGGAAAUGAGAGUGGUUCACGCGGGUGCCAGCCGUGGAUAUGUUAUUGUGGAAUAACAGUAUCGAACCGACGCGUAGCUCUUGGUGUGCAGCGACGGUAAAGGUAUAAAGGGACCGAUGGGGGUAUUCAUAUUCAUUUGUCUGACAUGAAAUUCUUGGAUUUUUUGUCGACUGACUAUUGCCAUAGCAUUUGCCACAUAUGUUCUCAUUGAUUCGAACGAACAAAGGUGAUCUAAGACAUUAAGAUACCGUCCUAGAUUCUCCAUUCAUAACCAUAAACCAUGCCAACUGGAGAUGGGGUCUGAUCAUUGUGUGACACUUUCUGCAUCUUGAGAGAUAUUUAGUCUUUGGGGUUCCGGGGGGAGUAUGGUCGCCAAGGCUGAAACUUAAUUGGAAUUGACGGACCGGCACCACCAGGAGUGGAGCCUUUUUCUUAAUUUAGACUCAACACGGCUAAAACUGACCAGGGCCCAGAAAUGGGUAGGAUGGACAGAACUGCUUAGCUCGAUCUAGAUGCUGAGGGGAGGUGGGUGCCAUGGUUCGGUUCGUAGGAAGUUGGUAGUGAUUUGUCUGGCUUAAUUCCGUAAAACGAACGAGACCUAUAUAUAACUUCAUAGGUAUGCGUUCACGACACUGACUGAUCUAUCACCAUCGUAUGAUGGAACGAACGCAUCAUCUGAACGCGAAGUAGGCGUAGCAGGUAAU
rnacentral:rRNA from 1 species